AAAAGCCUACAUAGCAGUUCCAAUGCUACGCCUUGAACCGCUCGGCCAUCUCUCCUACAUAAUGAUUAUGAAUCAAAAACCAAGUGA
rnacentral:tRNA from 1 species